AUUGAACGCUGGCGGCAGGCCUAACACAUGCAAGUCGAGCGGAUGAAGGGAGCUUGCUCCUGGAUACAGCGGCGGACGGGUGAGUAAUGCCUAGGAAUCUGCCUGGUAGUGGGGGAUAACGUCCGGAAACGGGCGCUAAUACCGCAUACGUCCUGAGGGAGAAAGUGGGGGAUCUUCGGACCUCACGCUAUCAGAUGAGCCUAGGUCGGAUUAGCUAGUUGGUGGGGUAAAGGCCUACCAAGGCGACGAUCCGUAACUGGUCUGAGAGGAUGAUCAGUCACACUGGAACUGAGACACGGUCCAGACUCCUACGGGAGGCAGCAGUGGGGAAUAUUGGACAAUGGGCGAAAGCCUGAUCCAGCCAUGCCGCGUGUGUGAAGAAGGUCUUCGGAUUGUAAAGCACUUUAAGUUGGGAGGAAGGGCAGUAAGUUAAUACCUUGCUGUUUUGACGUUACCAACAGAAUAAGCACCGGCUAACUUCGUG
rnacentral:rRNA from 1 species